rnacentral:RNase_P_RNA from 1 species
CGGGCAGGGCAGCUGCUGGCACAGCAAUGUGCGAGAGGAAAGUCCGAGCCCCAUAGAGCAGGAUAACGGCUAACGGCCGCCGAGGGUGACCUCAGGGAAAGUGCAACAGAGAGAUACCGCCAAACCUCCCGGCUUCCCGGGCAGGUGGCAAGGAUGGAAAGGCGAGGUAAGAGCUCACCAGCGUGGUGGAGACAUCACGGCUAUGUAAACCCUAUCCGGAGCAACACCGACUUGAAGUGGUCUGCUCGGCCUAUACUUCAGAAGGGUGGCUUGAACGGCCCAGCAAUGGUCCGUCUAGAUAGAUAGUUGCCUUAAACGACAGAACUCGGCUUAUUACCCCGGUC